GGGAUCCUCUCUUCGAGGUUUCUUGAUACCUCCAUAAAUGAAUUUCAGUUUAUUCUUAGAGAGGAGAGCUCUUCUUAUAUUUCUGCUCCAAGAGGUGUAAUUGGAUUCAUCAAGAAUUUGUGAAAUGAGAGAAAUGUCUGGGUUCUCUCUUGGGUGGAGAUAGUAAGGGCUGGAAGGAUCGUUUAACUGGUCCAUGAUUCCAAUGGCAGCAAGAAAUCAAGAAAAGUAAUAAAACGCAGCAGAAACAGAGGCUGGUUCAAAACCCGCUCUGGAACCAUAUUAAAAUCGGGCCCGAUACAUUGUGUCUGAGGCCCAUCAUCAUCUGGC
rnacentral:lncRNA from 1 species